rnacentral:rRNA from 1 species
UACGAACUGUGCGAACGUUAUUCGGAAUCACUGGGCUUACAGGGUGCGUAGGCGGCUCAACAAGUCAGGUGUGAAAGCCCCCGGCUCAACCGGGGAACUGCGCUUGAAACUGUUAGGCUCGAGUCAGCUAGAGGUACACGGAACUUCCAGUGGAGCGGUGAAAUGUGUUGAUAUUGGAAGGAACACCGGUGGCGAAGGCGGAUCUCUGGGCCUUACCUGACGCUCAGGUGCGAAAGCUAGGGGAGCGAACAGGAUUAACGAAC